rnacentral:rRNA from 1 species
AAGUCGUAACAAGGUUUCCGCAGGUGAACCUGCGGAAGGAUCAUUAUCGAAUAAACUUGAACAGGCUGUUGCUGGUCCCAGGACAAUGUGCACGCUUGUCAUCUUUAUCAUUUCUCCCAACCGUGCACACAUUGUAGACCCUGGAUUUUGUUCCGAGUGGGGACUGCUGUGCUUCAAAAGAAGUCGGCUUUCCCCUUGAAGGUCUAUGUUUGUUUUUCACAACCUCUCGAAUGUGUUUAGAAUGUUGAAAUAAAGAAAAGUUAAUAAAAUACAACUUGCAGCAACGGAUCUCUUGGCUCUCGCAUCGAUGAAGAACGCAGCGAAAUGCGAUAAGUAAUGUGAAUUGCAGAAUUCAGUGAAUCAUCGAAUCUUUGAACGCAUCUUGCGCUCCUUGGUAUUCCGAGGAGCAUGCCUGUUUGAGUGUCAUUUAAACUCUCAGACCACAUCAUUCGUUUGACGUGGCUUUGGAUGUGGGGGUUGCCGGCUUUCUUCUCAGAGAGCCCUGCUCCCCUGAAAUGCAUUAGUGGUAUCUGGAGUGGAAAACCGCUAGGUGUGAUAAUACUGUCUAUGCCUUUGGUUAUGCCACAAUGUGCUGCUUCUAAACCGCACAUCUUUGUGCUUUUGACAAACUUGACCUCAAAUCAGGUAGGACUACCCGCUGAACUUAAGCAUAUCAAUAAGCGGAGGAAAAGAAACUAACAAGGAUUCCCCUAGUAACUGCGAGUGAAGCGGGAAGAGCUCAAAUUUGAAAUCUGGCGGUCGUUGGCCGUCCGAGUUGUAAUCUAGAGAAGUGCUACCUGUGCUGGACCGUGUACAAGUCUCCUGGAAUGGAGCAUCGCAGAGGGUGAGAAUCCCGUCUUUGACACGGACUGCCUGUACGUCAUGGUGCGCUCUCGAAGAGUCGAGUUGUUUGGGAAUGCAGCUCAAAAUGGGUGGUAAAUGCCAUCUAAAGCUAAAUAUUGGCGAGAGACCGAUAGCGAACAAGUACCGUGAGGGAAAGAUGAAAAGAACUUUGGAAAGAGAGUUAAACAGUACGUGAAAUUGCUGAAAGGGAAACGCUUGAAGUCAGUCGCGUCGGCCAGAAAUCAGCCUUUGCUUUUGCUUGGUGUACUUUCUUGGUUGAUGGGUCAGCAUCAAUUUCGACCGUCGGAUAAAGUCGUCGGGAAUGUGGCAUCUUCGGAUGUGUUAUAGCCCGGCGUCGCAUACGGUGGUUGGGAUUGAGGAACUCAGCACGCCGAAAGGCCGGGUCUCUCGAGGCCACGUCCGUGCUUAGGAUGCUGGCAUAAUGGCUUUAAUCGACCCGUCUUGAAACACGGACC